GUGCCUCAAUCUAUUGAGUAAGGAAAUUAUUGGGCCUUGGUGAUUCUUGGCUUAUGCCCCAAACGGGGCGAAUGGAUUUUUGAACGGGUAAAGGUCGUCCCACGUGUUACUUCGCCUACUUUGCAAGCGACUCGGGUGAAGCGAUCUGCCUG